rnacentral:rRNA from 1 species
GCCCUUCGGGGUACACGAGCGGCGAACGGGUGAGUAACAUGCGGGUGAUCUGCCUUGCACUCUGGGAUAAGCCUGGGAAACUGGGUCUAAUACCGGAUAUGACCACGGAUCGCAUGGUUUGUGGUGGAAAGAUUUAUCGGUGCGAGAUGGGCCCGCGGCCUAUCAGCUUGUUGGUGGGGUAAUGGCCUACCAAGGCGACGACGGGUAGCCGACCUGAGAGGGUGACCGGCCACACUGGGACUGAGACACGGCCCAGACUCCUACGGGAGGCAGCAGUGGGGAAUAUUGCACAAUGGGCGGAAGCCUGAUGCAGCGACGCCGCGUGAGGGAUGACGGCCUUCGGGUUGUAAACCUCUUUCGACAGGGACGAAGCGAAAGUGACGGUACCUGUAGAAGAAGCACCGGCCAACUACGUGCCAGCAGCCGCGGUAAUACGUAGGGUGCGAGCGUUGUCCGGAAUUACUGGGCGUAAAGAGCUUGUAGGCGGUUCGUCGCGUCGAUUGUGAAAACUUGCAGCUCAACUGCAAGCUUGCAGUCGAUACGGGCGGACUAGAGUACUUCAGGGGAGACUGGAAUUCCUGGUGUAGCGGUGAAAUGCGCA